rnacentral:lncRNA from 1 species
GAAAAAAUAUUAAUAAUUUUUUGUUAACAACCCAAAAAGCCAUAUUUUUUAAAUGAAAAGACAAAACAUUUGUUAUAUAUAUAAAAAAAAAAACAACAACAAUAUAAUAACUUAUAAGACAUAAAAAAAGCAAUAAUAUUUUAAUAAUAAUAAUAAUUUUUAAAGAAAUGAUUAUAUAUUAAUUAUAAUAUUUAUUAUUGUAAUGUUUUUUCUAGACUUGAUAUUUUAUACAAAUUUUAUUAAAUGCGCACAGAAUUAAUUUUCGACAAUUCUUAAGCGACGUUUUUUUUUUUUUUUUAAACAAAAUAUCGUGAAUAAUAUAAGCAUUUUGAUUUUAGUUAGGGUUCUGAUUCUCCUAUAUACAGAUGCACGUUUUUUUCCCAAAUGUAAUUUAUAAAAAUAAUAUUAUUAUUUUACUUGGUCGUAUUAUUUUUGAUUUAUUUAUUGUUUAAAUAAUUUUUUAUUAUUAUAAGUAGUUACCAAUUUGCUCUUUGAGUUUGUAUUUACUAUUAUUAUUUUAUUGUAUUAUUAUUUUUAUUUUUUAAGUGAUAUAUCAAACGCAUGUGACAUUUUUUUCGUGUUUAUUAAAAAAAAUAAUUAUAGUUGUUAAAUUUGUAUUUUAAUAUUAAAAAUUCGCUCAGAAUCUAAAAUAAAAAAAAAAUGAAAUAAUUCAUUAAAUUGUGAUAAAAAAAAAAUUAAAUGUUUAAAUUCAUUAUGUCACAUGCGGUUGAAUAUAUAAAUAUUAUAUUAUAUUCAUUGUUAUUAUGCAAAUGCUCUCUAAGACAAUCUCCUAUCCCGAUUUAACAUAUCUUCCAAAAUAAAUGCUUUUUCAAAGAAAAAAAACUUAAGCUUCUUAAACAAAAAGCUCAAAUCGUUCUGGAAACAAAAAUAAGUAAAAUAAUAAAAAGAAAUCAUUCAAAAAGUCUUAAUAUAUGAUUUAAGAAUUUAAUAAUUCAGAUGUGUUCAAACAAAAAUUGAUAGACUUAAUUUUUUUUUUUAUUAUAUAAUUUUGUUUGUUUGUUUUUUUUUUUUUUUUUGAUCUCGAUAAUAAUUUUUUAAGGGGAGCAUAAUUUGGAUUCAAUAAUCUUUUACAAAAGCCAAAGUUUAAGAGAAUUUUCAUUUGUGAUCGAUCUCAUUAUAAAGUUAACAUUAAUUUUAGGUGGGGUGCUUAAAUAAUAAGUGUAUCACGUUGAACGUUAUUUAUAGAAUGAGAUGAUAAUAUUUCAAUAUUAAUCUCUUAAACAAAAAAUAAUAUUAUUAAACUCGAUAAGCAAUUUAUAACAUUGAUUGUUUUCGGUUCGAUCUGGUUAAACUCACAAUAAUAAUAAUAAAAAAUAUAUUCUUAAUAAUUGAUAUAGAUAUAUAUAUAUAUAUAUAUAUAUAUAUGUAUAUGUAUGUAUAUGUAUAUAUAUAUAUGUGUGUGUGUGCAUAUUGUAUGUAUUUAUAUUUUUUUGAGUUAAUGAAUUAUUUUUACUAUAUAUUCUAUUAUAAAGAUUUUAUUACUAACAUAAUUCGUAAAUAUAAUAUAACGGAUUAAAGUAGGUUUUUUUUUUUUUUUGAAACUUUUGGUCAUUAUUAUCAUUGUAUAAGUAUUUUAUUCUGUUUAUUUUGGGUUUAUAAAUAUUUGUAAACAAAAAAAAAAUAAAAAUGUGAAAUAUGACGAAAUACAUAAUUUGGCUGUGUAUUAGUUACUUGUUACUUUAAGAUUAUAAUAUCGCAAAUAUGUUUUAUUUUUUGCUUAAUAUUACCAUCAUUUUAAUUUGUAUUAGUUUUAACGUUUGAAAAACAAUUAAUGAAUAACCAACUUUUAAUAGCAAUAUUUUAAAAAUAAAAUAAAAUUAUUUUUCUAUAAUAAAUUUUAAAAAUAUCAGGAAUAUUUUCUUUGAAAACCGACCCUUUUACAAGACAAAUAAUUAAAUAUAUAUAUUUAUAUAUUAUUAACUAUUAUUAUAGCUACUCUUGCCUACUUUUCUUUGAUAGUUAUUUAAUAUUUUAAUCAACCGUGAUUUUAUUUUUUUUUUCUCUAGAAUGUUUAUGAUAGUUUUAACUUAAUUUUAAUAAUUUAUUAUGUAGUUAUUCAGAGUGAUUGAAUUUGUAAACGAAACAAUUUAUUAUAUAUUAUUAUGUAAUUAAUCAUUAUAGUAUAUAUAUAUAUUAGCGUGUUGUAAACUAUAAUGAUUAUUAUAAAUAUAGAUUUAAAAAUUUUAAAAAAAAGAAGUGAAAUUAAGAGAGAAAUGUUAUAAAAUUAUUAUGUUUAUUAUUUAUGUUAUACAAUGAAUAUUAUUAACUAUAAAAAAAACCCAUGUAUUUUCCCUUUUUUUUUUUUUUUUUUUUUUUUGAAACUGUAAUAUUUGCUAAAUGACUUUAUUUUAAAAAAAAAAAAUGUAAAUAAAUAAUAAAC